GUCGAGAAUAUUCGGCAAUGGGCGAAAGCCUGACCGAGCGACGCCGCGUGCAGGAAGAAGGUCUUCGGAUUGUAAACUGCUUUUAUUAGGGAUAAAUUUUUUGAUCGUACCUAGUGAAUAAGGGGCUGCUAACUACGUGCCAGCAGCCGCGGUAAUACGUAGGCCCCAAGCGUUAUCCGGAUUUAUUGGGCGUAAAGGGUGCGUAGGAUGUCUAACGCGUCUUGUUUUAAAUUCCCAAGCCCAACUUGGGCAUUGGAAAGGAUACGGUUAAACUAGAGGGUGCUAGAGGUUGCUGGAACAGCCGGUGUAGGGGUGAAAUCCGUUGAUAUCGGCUGGAACGCCAAAGGUGAAGACAGGCAACUAGGGCAUUCCUGACUCUGAGGCACGAAAGCGUGGGGAGCAAAAAGGAUUAGAAACCCGAGUAGUCC
rnacentral:rRNA from 1 species